UCGUUAUCUUAAUUAAGAUCCAGAGAAAAUGUUGUCUGUAAAUGGAGCCAGAAGAAGAGGGCAUAAUUUUGUACAGUUUUGCUUUUGGAGAAUUUAAUUACACUUGAAACCUGUCUUUGAGCUUCCAGAUUGUGUGAGCAGUUUGGCAACAGAAGUUUUAGAGAGGAAUGGUAGUUUAAUGUUAAGUGUUCUGGCAUGUUCUAAUACUACUUGUGGCUUUUUGGCAAUACCUUGUGUCGGCUCUCUUUGUACUCUGUCUUUGUGGAAUAAUAGCUUCUAAUUUUGAAAGCAAAGCAUAAAAUAGAGGGCUGUAUUGUUCAGCAGACAUUCAUUAGUGAGGAAGACAUGUUUAGUGUGCAAAAACAGGGAUAUAAUGAAAAGGUAAAUAGAUGAGAAAUGUAUGCCUUUUAAGGUUUGGGGAGUGCCUUGAUGGUCUGAAACAAUUCCCUGUUCUUAUCAUCAAGUGCAUAGCUACAGUGUUUAUGGAAUAGCUCGUCAUUUAUAGAAAUAGAGGGAAACUUUACUCCUUCCAAAAUACUAUAUAAUAUAUUUAAACUAGUAAGCAAAUGAUGAUACAGUAUUAGUUUAGAACCCAAUUUAUAACCCGGGUUCUAAAUUUAUAAUCGUUAAAAUAGUACCAUCCCCUUUAACUAUGAAUCUCUCAGUGUGCAAACAAUGACAGGGGGAUGCUGGUGGCCACUUGCCCUUGGAUGACCCUGCACCUCAUACCCUUUAACAUAAGUGCUACAUUAAAAUUUCCCUCCUCUUUGUAGCUCGACAUUUCCUGGAAGCUGGCUGUCAAUCAGCAUUUGUGUAAGAUGGGUCCGUGCUUUCCUUCAAUAUUAAACCUCAGAGUCGAAAGAGGAAAUGAAAGUGGAGGGGAUCGUGGGCAUAUGAUGGGAAAGGCCAGGUGUAGAGUCAUGGCUCAUUCUUGACUUCAAGGAUAAUUAGCUGGUUAGAAUUACACGGAGAACUAAAAUCAAAGGAAGACUUACUUAAAUUUGUUUGCUGAAACUGAAACAAGAGCGUUAAUUUUGAGAUAAUUGCUUUAUUUAUCCCCCAGACCCCUCACCAGAAUGUUUUCUCUGGCAGCUACAGUCCCUAUUUUUUAUGCUGUUGUGCAUGUUAUUUUUAAAUUAGAUAUAUUGUGUUAAAAGGUGGAAUAUUAAUGCAAAUAAAUUAUCCAUUUUAAUUAAUAAUACAAUUAUGAAUGUUUGUAUGUUCUAGAAAUCUUAGGAAAAACUGAAAUGUUCUUUAGUUCAUGAGCUGGAAAUGAAUGAGAUCGUGUAAUCCUUUGUGAAUUGAAUGGGUUGUUUAAAAUAGAUUAUGAGCACAGUGCCAUAGUUGGAACAACAUUUUAAUUCUGAAAUAGCACCACCUGCUUUGAGUGGAGGCAUGUCUGUCUUCAUAUAUUUCUCUUCAGUUUCUGCAUUGCAUUAGCUUCUGUUUUUAACAUCAUUUUGGUAGAGAAUAGCUUUUUUUUUUUUUAACAGAACAGCAGCUGACACUUCCCCAUGAACGUAAAACCUAGGGGUGAUUUUUUCCUUGUUCUGUAAUGACUAGUUUGCUUUCACAGCUCUCCUCUGAAGUGCAAUACUGAUGACUUAUUUCUGUAUAAAUUGCCUGUGUUUUCAUAGUCUAGUAUACCUCAGCAACAAUUUAGCUUGCAAAUCAACUUAGACGCUUCAAAAUUGAAACCCAGUAUAUUGUAACAUAGUUUGAGUGUCUUUAUUAGUGAGGAUGCAUCUAACAUUUGUUCAGGAAGGGGGAAUAUAAUUUCCUCCCGUAGCUGUCAUUUGUGUAAUCCAUUUCUCCUGCCUUUUCUCAGGCUAAUGAUAUUCCACACCUUGAUACAGCUCUUAUUUGCUUAUUUACCAUAAUAUGGAGUGAUACCUUGGAGAAAAUUGGAUUAGACGUUCAUAUCUAAUAUCCCUAAAGUAUUGCUAGUGUUCUGUGUUCUCUUACACAGACUCCUUUGUACUUCCUGGUCAGGUUAUAAGUACAAUGUUUUAUAAUAUAUUUGGAUGUUUCAGAUAAGUUCAUUUCCAAAAUAUAGGGUUAUUUUACAUAUUGACUAAAAUUUGUUCUUGAACACACCAAUGCUUAUCUGAAUGCUUUGGGUGUGCCUGGAUGUGAAGCUCCCAGAUAGCACCAAGGAGGCUUCAGCAAAGAAUGCAUAUUAGUAAUUGGUGCUAAGUGUGGAUAGUGGGGGAAUGCCACCUGAGAUCUUUGAUUAUUCAAAUUCUAUUAGUGCACUAAGAGGAAUUUGGUAAAUUUAGAAAUUGUUGAUUUGUGGAAUGUCUGAAUAAUUUAUCAUUUAUCUUGGAAUUGCAUUAAAUAAUUUAUUUGAAUUAUAGCAUUGGAAAGUAAAAUCAAGACAAGGUUGUAAUGUUUAAUAGAAAUCAAAAUUGCUAUUAAAAGGAAAUAAUAGAGCUAAAACAAAUCACAUUUUGAAGUUAUUUUUUUGAACUGAUUUUUUUUAAAGAAUAAAUUUAGCAUUAUCUUCAGCCUUUGGCAUCAAGCUCUUAAUUACAGAAAGUAUACAAGUAUGCAAAACUUGUUAUUGUUAUUAAAAAUAGGGUUCUGGAAUAUGUGAGAAGAAAGGCUUUGAGAAAGAAUUUGCAGACUAUUUGUGCUAUCUAAAGAAUAGAGCAAGGAACUGGACUAAGUUGGUGGCUGAACUCCCCACCCCAAUAAGAUAAUUUUACUGAAGGCAGUCUCAUUAGUCUAGCCUUUGCUAGAACAAAUGCUUCUCUAUGAAUUAUUAGGCAUUUGUGUAGUCUUGGCUAUAAUAGGAAAUACUAUUUUAUCAUUUGUAAGUAAAUGUUUGUAAAUAGACUUGUGUUCCCUGUACUGAUUGGAACCUCCAGAAACUCAGGGCUAGUGUUACAGCAAGCUAGAAGCACAGCACAAAUGUAAAGAAAAUGUUAGGCAGGCACAAAUAGGAUUCAUCAUUAUUUACCUUUAAGCUUAGGGGUCUGUUCUGUUCUUAAACCAUGAUAGAGUUGUUGAUUUAAACGUAAGAGGAUUGAGGUUUAGUUCUUUUCUCCUAGGCAUAACUAUUGGAAUGUAUAUAUGUGUGUGUGUGUGUGUGUAUAUAUAUAUAUAUAUAUAUAUAUAUAUAUAUAUAUAUAUUAGAUAUAUUUGAGCAUUCAGGCUUAUCAAGUUUCAUAUCUGUUGUGGGCUAGAUUUACUAUUAUAAUUCAAGUUUCAUUAAAGGUAUUCAAAUGCAUCAGAUCUCUUCAUCUUGUAUGAAAUAUUUGUACUGGAGCACACUCUUGAAAAUAUCAAGAACCAUCCUUUUUGGAGUAAUGGGUUAUGGCUGAUUAAUUGAGAAGGUUGUACUAAAUGUUCUCUAGUGGAAAUAUCUAAAGAAUGUGCUUUUUAAGAAAUGCAUCAUCCACAAUAAAAUCACUUCAGGUAUCAGUAAUUAAACUGUGAUUCAUGAAGAAAGGGAGUGGUGAGAGGAAGCUAACUGUGCCGUUUUCUCUUUAAGAUCCGCAGUUCAUAUUGGACUUCUGGCCGCCGUGGAAGGAGGUGAUCCAGAAGACGGGAAGGCAAUACUAUCUAUCAUCAAGAACACAUUCCUCUGCAAUUCUGAACCUUUAGCCUACAUGAGAACUCUAUCCAAUAGAUCACAGUUUCUUUAAUUUUGAGCGAUGGGAACCAUCCUGUUUUUCUCUGCUAACUUUCUGAGCCUGCUUCUUCCAGGGCCACAGGCUGUGUUUAGAGAGCUGAGAAAUAGCUUUUCGGCCUACUCAGCACCCUUAAAAUAGCUUCUUUCUGCGAAUUAGAUCUGUGAUGGCGUUCUGCACGGCUCUAGCGGAUGACAUUUCAGUUUGGGAUUGACAUGCACUCAGCCUGUUGUCCAACUGUCCUCAUUUACCUCCUGUUCCUUUGUUGCAUUUACCUAGGGGUGUAUUCUCCAUGGUGGUUGACCGCCAGCCGCCCCAGCCCAGAGACCCCAGCAAGAGGCUGGCUCUUGAUAGCAGGCCAUGUUUUCUUUGCCUGGUUCCAGCCCGAGCUCUGUUGGCUUCCAGAAACCCUGGCCAGGCUUUUCCUUCCCACCACACUAGGUUGGCUACUAUGUGCUCUGCAGCUGUUGCAGGGGCUCACACAGAAUAGAAGGCUCUGCUACAUUCUGGGAUGCAUCUCUGAUAAUUUACUCAUGUGCAUUUUUGUCUUCAAACCUACUGCUGGCAUUGAAAUCUAAGAUUCCUGAAAAACAGCAUUGGGCUCCAACUCUGUCUUCAGGAGAAGCUCUGUCCUCUGGCCCUGUGGUUGCCAUGUUGACCACGGAGGUUCAGUUAUGAAUUGGUCCUUUCCGAAGAGCAGUUACUUUAUCUGGGAAUGUUGACACAGACCUCAGUCGUUUAAUAGCAUUUCUAGCUGUUUGUUUUUCUUGUUUAAAAAGGCAACCUUUUCCCUGUCAUCACAAAUUUCUAGCCCCUGACCUAUAUAUAUCUAGUAAGGGACAUUAAUGAAACAGUAAAGGGCUUUAUGCUGUCUAAUUAUAUAAUUAGGAAAAUGGUAAGAAAUGUGGUGGCUCACACUGAUUUCUUCCAUUAAAGGUACUAGAGCACAUUUACAAUCGCAAACCUUCAGAAAAGACUCCGGGUAAUCUGGAAGUAAAGUGAUGUUUGGGGGGAUCCCCGGAGUAGCGGGAGGAAUAUUAGUUUCACAUUCCUUUCCCCAUGUCUUCUUGCAGGGUGUCGGCAGCUGGGGAACCAUUGCAAUGUAGUCAGACAGUGCUGAUAGCAGAGCACUUAUUUGGAAAGCAGUUUACAUUGGCACAGCUUGUCAGUAUUGUGACCAUGACCAACUUCGCACCUGGAACGGAAGCCCAAGGAAAAUUUAUCUCCAGUCUCUGGAGUUUGAUGAGGCUCAAGGAGAGACAUCUCAACAUCGUGGGGUUCCAGCUGCCUGUGCUCUCCCAGUUCUUACGGCCAGAUUUGAAUUGUCAGGAAUCUAACAGCACAUUAAAACUUCAAGACAAAGCAGUGGACUCUAGCAGUGUUACCACCCUGAAGACAGGAGUGUGGAAGAGAAUCAUGAAAAUGAAGAUUUGGGCAAACAGCUCAUCCUUGCAGUUGUCUUAAAGAGUGAUUAAUUUCCCUUUCAGUGCCUUCUACCCAAGCCGAAGUGCUUCUGCAGAGACGAAUUCUGUGAAGCCUGUUUAGGGGAUCAUCCCCGCUAGACAGACAGCUGCGAGGGGGCACCGCUUCCCAGCAUGGAUUUCAGAUUAUAACCAAUCAAAGGCCGAAGCUAAGGAACACCUGUCAGCGGCGUUUGUGCAAGGAGACCAGCUCUUUAAUCAAAUUUCAUUGUACUUCAGAAAAAGGUUUAUUUUAAAUGUGGCGUCUGCUUUUAUGAUUCAUCCCUCUUAGCUGAGACAUCAAUUUGGGGCUUAUUUAUGAUGUUGUUUUAGGGUAAAACGAGAAACUGCAAGAAAAUAUUUCAAGAAAGUGGCCUUUCCCAGACAUUUAAUUAGCAACUUUCUCAGAUGGGAAAAUACAAAAUUGAAAACGUGAGUUUUAAAUUUUUGUGUGUGAAUAUAAUUAGCGUUAGGGAUUCUUUUGAGGACACCUCAGAAUGUUGAUGCUUGUCAUGAAGUCUGGAGAACUUGCCUUGUGGAAAUCCGUUCCGCUUAUCUGUGAGCAGUGCAAACUAUCAUUGAUACUGAUGGGUUCAGAGAGGCCAUGCCUGCUUUCAACUUGGCCCUAAUUGGAGGCCCCACUAAGUCCAUAAUACCAGGUACUUUCUCACAGCUGCAGACCAUGGAGUGUAACUAUCAGAGGACAAACUUCACUCUGCAAACUGUAACUUAAUGGUAUAACUGUGUGCAGCCCCGAAUAUCAGUUAAUUUUCAAAACAUUUUAUUCUACAGCAAUUAGCUCAGGUCCUGGAGGGCAAAAUGACAAGAGGUUACUCGUUCACUAUGUAUUUAAUUAAUUGAAAAAUGCUCCAAUUGCCUUUACAGUUGUUAUUAGAGAGCAGAAUCAGUGUUGCCAGCGCUCAACCAUAAUUGGAACCCCAGGGAAUUAAAUAUUUAGCAUUAGUAAUGUAACAGCACUUAGGACACAAAUUUCUAUUUUCGUAAUGAAAGCUAUACACUGUGAGUGCAGGCGGCUGAAAGGACAGCUGUGACAAGCGAAACGGCCUGGGACAUUUCAAUAAGACACCUCAUUGGACAGCGAGUCUUACCACAUUAUGCGUUUGUAAGAGACCUGCAAGUUUAAUUCCCACGAGGAACUCAUAGCCCAAGUCUUUAGCGUCCUAAUUGCAUGCAGGAUGAGUGCUUGGGCAAAUGUCUUGCCAUAAGUGCCUGAAAUUUGUCCUGCUUUCUAAAUAAUCGCAUAUAAGUUCGUGCCUUUGUCAAUUUAAAAAUACUGAGACUGUCAGGGAAUAAGGAUCUUAUUUGUUUUCCAUUUAAUUAUAUUUUAAGCACACAUGCUUUCUGUGCUACAAUGAGAAAAGUUGGCUAUUGGGCUCUAAUGAGCUGCAGUGUAGACGCUGGAGACCCUGAGGGAUUCGCUCCGUAAAUUAGCUGGAUAAAAAGUACUUGGUUAGGAUAUAGUUGAUGGCUGAGCUGUUCGCAGAACCAGUUACAGUACUGUCUCUCGCUCCUGUUUCAUUCUAAACAGGCUCUGUAGAGACUUUAACAGCUGCCUGUUAAAGCUGCUCAACUUGUCAAAAUGUAUUAUAUUACUCCACUAAUAAAUAGUAUUAAAGGGCAUUUGACUUCGCCUCUCAUUUUCAGAGGGGAUCAGGUUGGUACACCUGGCUUAGGCUGGCCUUAUUUUAAUUUGUUUAUGUCAGCUAAGUGAUACUGAAGGGCCGUGUUUUAAAUUUGCAAACAUUGCCUUCCCAGGGAGGGAUACGCAGUGGAAACAAGGGAUUGAGACACUUAUUGUAGAAUGUUUCUCAUUGGAAAACGUCAGAUUUUGACAUUCUUAGGCCACAUUUAAAGAACUUGAGAGCCCAUGGCUAAGCUGACAGUCUCAGAAAGUUUGGUUCCUUUGCGUUUUUCAUUUCUAAUAAUAAAUAAAUAAAAUAAAAGUCACAAGAUAAAUAAUGUCACAACUUCCUUUUGAUUUUCCAUUGUUCCUAUGUCUAUUUUGGAUUAUUCUAAGUAAUCAUGAUUUUUGUAUCCAUUUUUAAACAAUUUUUCAAAACAAUGCAUGUUUACUUAAAAAAAUACUUCAUUUGAUAAAGUCUUCCUUAGACCUUCCCUCAACCCUGUCUCCCUGCCUGGUGGUCUCUUUUGAUAAGUUUUUUUGUUUUUGUUUUGCUUUUUGCAUGCAUAUGUGGUGUGUGUGUGUAUGUGUGUGUGUAGGCCAGAGAUUGACAGCUGACAUCAGAUGUCGUCUCACCUCACUUCCCACCGUAUUUGUUGAGGCAGAUCUCUGACCAACCUGAAGCUCAACGAUCAGCUAGUCCACCUAGCCAGCAUGCUCUGAGCAUAUUAUACAAAUGCACAUGUUGGUCUGUGUUUACAGAUCGUAUUAGUGCCCUAGAUCAUGCAUGAUGUUUUAAAAUUUUGUUACAUUUAUUUGGGGGUGGCGAUUACGUGCCAAAGUGUGUGUGCGCAUGCGUGUGCGUGUGUUUUGCUCAAAGGACAAUUUGCAGGAGUUUUCUCUUCCAACUAUGGAGCUCACAGUGAUCAAACUCAGGUAGUCAGGCUUGGCAAGAAACCUCUUUACCCACUGAACCAUCUUAAUAGCCUUAUGUGAGUGCUUUUAACAAUUAAUCCUUAUUGUUCUCUUGACAGAAGCUUCUGUCCCACCAGGUGCCACAGCCGUUUAGCCCCAAAGAAAUACACAGAAAUCUACAUUAAUUAUAAACUGCUUGGCCUAGUAUCUCAGGCUUCUUAUUAAUUCUUAUAACUUACAUUAACCUGUAAUUCUUGUCUGUGUUAGCCACAUGGUUUGCUGCCUUUUUUGGCGAGGCCGUCACAUCUUGUUGCUUCUGUGUCUGGGUGACGACUGCAGACUGAAACUUCUCUCUUCCCAGAAUUCUUGUUGCCCCAUCUCUACUUCCUGCCUGGUCAUCCCACCUCUACCUCCUACCUGGCUACUGGCCAAUCAGUGUUUAUUUAAAAUACAAGUGACAGGAUACAGACCAUUGUCCACAGCAUUGAGCAGGCACAAAAGUGCACUUAUCUGUUGGUUGUCAAUACCAUUCAAAGUAAUUCAGUUUUGCCGUAGCAAAUGAUGCUAUGCUGAACAUCUGCCUAAGCAUGUGAGUGAACAUGGAUGGGCACAGAACAUGUGAUCCAUCGUGGAUUGCGCCAAUACUCUGUGCCAGGCAUCAUUAAAAAUGCCUUUAGUAACUCAUUCCAUCUUUAUCCUAAGUAAAAGUCAGUGUAUAGCCAGGUGGUGGUGGCACACACCUCUAAUCCCAGUACUCAGGAGGAGGCAAAGGUAGGCAUAUCUCUGUGAGUUCGAGACUAGCCUGGUCUUCAGAGCUAGUUCUAGGACAUCCAGGGCCACACAAAGAAACCCUGUCUAGAAAAAAAAAAACAAACAAAACAAAAAAAAGAGUUAAGGUGUAUUAUUAGCCCUAUUUUACGUAGUGAUACUGAGGCUCAAUAGGGUUAAACUCCUCAAGGCCACCAGAGUAUGCUGUUAGCCAGUCUCUUUUGUCUGUUCAUGUCCUGGUCUCAUUUUAUUAUAGUUUCAUGGCCCUGUCAGGCUCCACAAAGACUUGACGGAUCAUGGCUGCCUCCUGUUUUUCAGAGCUGGAGCUUGAACUUCCCGUGCAGGAAAAUGCUCUACCGCUGAGCUCUAGCUCCCACUGCUUUUGCUUUCUCUUGAGACAGGAUCUCACACAGUCAUUCAGGCUUGGCAACUGGAGCCCCCGCCCCUGCCUCAGCCGCGCCAUAGCUGGGUUUACAGGCUGAGACUUGGAUGUCUCUAAUACAGAUAAUCACGUCUUCCUUCAAAAGAUUUCAGUCUGUCGCCUUUAUUUUCAUUUUAUGUUAACAUUACCAAGAUUUGCUUUGUGGACUGAGAUAUAAGGAAACCUUGUAACCCUAGGGGUACAAACACAUUUUCCUGUAUAGUUUUGCACACUAUUAAUUUCUUUUGGGUUUUUAUCGUAUUGAUGUUCAGUAUAUUUGGAAUGGAUGAAAACCAAGUCUUUGAUUUGCAGUGACCUCUGCAGCCUCCUCUUGUGAACUGUUUUUCCUUUCUCCUUCAUAGCUUGAAAUACACCUUUAUCAAAUGUUAUAGCUCCAUUUGUAUUCUGUCUUGAUAGCCAGUUCUUCUGGAAUAUUCCAUUUGUAGACUGCCUGGCCUUGUAGCAGUCCAUUUUCUGUUACAAGUGUCUAGUCUCAUUAAAAUGAUGUCUGUUGUGUGCAUCUAACUUUAUAAAAGUAGUGUGCACUCUUUCAGGCAUGGUGAAGGAAUCCCAAGCUAGACAGGAGGUUGGUGAGUUCAGGUCACCCUGAGCUACAUAAUAAAACAACCCUUGAGGAUGGUUACCGACCAAUGGCAAGGGCCACUGAGGUCACAUCUGCCCAGGGUGCUUACUCCGGAUUACCCAGGAGAUCCUAGAGUAAUCGCGAGGACUGGUAAAUGUGGAAAAGGGAGGUGAGGGAGGCCGCUUGAGAGUUGCAGAAUGAGAAACUCAGCAGAGCCCUCUGGCUUUGCACCUUGAAGAAUGGGGCCUCAAGCCAAGGACUGCAGGCAGCCACUACCACUGAAGAAGACAAGACUUUACCCUCCGUACUCUCCUGAAGAAAGUAAAACUUGGCCAGUGCCUUUGAUUCUGAAAGACAGGGUCUGAAGUGUGGUGAUUUGUUACCACAGCACAGUAGGCGGGCGGUUCACACUGAUGAGAUGGUGAUUGCCACACCCUGAGUGAGACCCAGCUCCAAAAACCAAAGCUUAAAAAGUUGAUAUGAAAGUGAAACCCAGACUCUUAGUUCUUGACUCUCCUCCCUCUGAAUGCUCCAGGCCAACUCCCACCAGACGGGCUAAUCACCUGGGUGUCUGAGUCCAUACACAGGUGUGGGGUUUGCUGUUAUUCAGGGAAAUCCACUUUUCUAUUUCAAAAGAAACUUUAAUUUCUAACCCUUUUUGGGGAUGGCCUUUAGAAUCUGCAAACAGUGUUUUAAAGUUGCCCGAGGCUUUGCUUGAGGGAUGUAAAUAGCGUGUUGAUUCCACGAAGUAGUAUCCUAGUCCUGACUCGGUAGGCCACCUCCCCAUCCUUGAGUCAAUGAAUCAAUGCAAAUUUCAGUUUUAGAGAAAAAAGGAUAAAUACUAUUCUGUUUUGUAAAUUCUUUUAAAAGUUUUUUAAAUCCACUUAAGAUUUUCAACUUCUCCUUAUAAAGUUCUACAUAGAACUUUCAUUUAGAAAUGUCCUUGAUACCUGUGCUUGUGUCUACAUUCUUUUUUAUUUAUUUUAUAUGUAUGAGUGUUUUGCCUGCAGGCAUGUCUGUGCACCAUGUGUGUGCAGUACCCGUGGAGGCCAGAAGAGGGCGGUGGAUCCUCUGGAAGCUUGGGUAGGAAAGUUGACUGUGUGAGGCACCGACCACAGCUGCUUCCUCCUGCAUGUUUACAGCCUGAGACUGUCCCCCCCCUACAGUAGCGACCUCCUACUGAGAAGCGCUGAUCCCUCCUCUUUUUACUAUACAUCAUAAACUCACUGGGUCUCUAGGCUGAAUGGUAGGUGUCUCAGAGCCAGCACAGCCCACACCAUCCCCGAUUUCCUGUACGUUUGUCUUUCUGUAUGUUUGUCUGUCCUUUGUCACCCAAUCGAACUUCCUGGACCAUGCUGUGCAGGAUGCAGUAAGAACCAACACCCAAAAGUUGUCGUCUGACUUCCGCACACCUGAUGCGGCCUAAGCAUGCCUGCGCUCACCCGUGUCACAUACACAAUACUCAAAGUUUAAGUAGAACGUGUGUUGUGUUGCUUAGGAAAACUACUGUGGAUCUGCUUAAGUCAAGCCCUGGUACUGAACUUCUCUCUCAGGAGUACAGGCUUUCUUUCACCGCGUUGUUUUGGCAGAGGCUCCCAUGACUGCUGCACCUCGGCUCUCUCUGUCCCCUUUGGUUGCGGGGAGGAAAGCUGUGCCCGUGGCACUCCUGGCUGGAAACUGCCUGCUGAUUUCCUUUCCUUCCUGUUUCAGAAGAGUGGAGUUAGUUCUCCCUGUGCCCUAGGCCCCCGGCAAUGAGCUGUCCACAUUGCAUUUCUCCUUCUGGGCCUCCCACCGGGUGCAAACCUAGACAUUCACUCUCAGGGUUGAGCGCCCAGUCUUUACAGCGCGUGCCUCCCUGACUUCUGUGUUUCAGGCACUUUGUCUGGCGCACUGCAGACUCCAUCCUGCUAGCAGUCACUGUCCAGAUGGCUUCUCAGUGAUCUGGGUCUUUCUCAUUUGUCACCUCCAUGUUUAUCUUCACUCCAUCAAAAAGGAAAACCCUCGUCUUCUGAACAGCAACUGCUAUACCUGCUUGGGCUCUAGUAUACUCUGGUGUUUCAAUUGCUUUAAAAAUAAAUGCAUUAUUACUGGUGUGUGUGUGUGUGUGUGUGUGUGUGUGUGUGUGUGAAUUCAGGUGCAUUUUCUGUUGUUAUUAUGCAUGUGUGAAUGCAGGUGCAUUUCCUAGGGUUGUUAUUAUGCAUGUGUGAAUGCAGGUGCUUUUCCUAGGGUUGUUACUAUGAAUGCAGGUGCAUUUCCUAGGGUUGUUAUUAUGCAUGUGUGAAUGCAGGUUCUUUUCCUAGAGUUGUUACUAUGAAUGCAGGUGCAUUUCCUAGGGUUGUUAUUAUGCAUGUGUGAAUGCAGGUGCUUUUCCUAGUGUGGUUUUUAUGUGUGUAAAUGCAGGGGCUUGCAUUUCCUGGUAUGUGUGGAAGUCAGAGGACAGUUUCCAGGAGUCAGUUCUUGCCUUCUAUUGUGGAUUUCAGGGAAGAAACUCAGGCCUUAGGCAAGCGCUUCUACCUGCAGAGCCAUUUUGUUGGCCCUUCUUUUUUCUCCAUUUUUAUUUUUAUCAAAGAAAAUAUGAUGAAUUAGUUGACAAUAAGUACCACUGGGAGGUUUGUAAAGAAAAUGUGUCUGCCUCAGCCCCUCUUCAUCUUCUCCUUAGAAGCAACUCUUUACAAAUUCCCUUUAGUAGCAUAUUCCUCUUACAGAUUGUACCCAAUAAACACACGGCUCUUUAAGGAGAUUGUCCAAUAUGGAGAGAAAGGCCCAAACACGCAGGAAAUGGGAUUUGUAGAACACAGACUGCAAAACCUCAGUAACCUCCAAGAAAUAAGAGGAUACUGCAUCUACAACACAAGGACAGACUGUCAUGGAGCAGGAACAGGCUAGAUGGUGCCUUGGGGGAAAUAGAGCACAAGGAAGUGACAAAAUAUGGAAACAAGGACAUUCAUUAUUAGCUCUGAUUUUCCCAAAGCAUGGUCAUGGAUGUAUUGAAACAUUCCCCAACAGUACAUUUUAUUUGCGCAAUAAUAAUUGCAAUACCAAAUCCUUAUUUAACCACAAAUUAUCCUGGGCCAGGUGUGGUGCCAUGAGCCUGGAAAGUCAGCCCCAGAAAGGCUGAAGCAGGAAGAUCACAAACUGGAGGCCAUCCUGGGCUACCAACUGAGACUCUCUCACAAGCAACAACCCUGGAGUGCAUUGGGCCUGUCCUGUCAGCCCGUGUUCAUUAGGCACCCACUUCUGGGACCUCUCGUUUAAUGUCCUCUUUUGGGAUAGUUGUCAAGACAUAGCAGGACUUGGGAGUGUUACUGCUACGUGCAGGCAGAUGCCCCGUGUCCCCUACCAUUAGCCCUGGUCCCCCUUCUACCCCAUACCUGACUCUUUAUCCUGGGUCUUCAUUUUCAUUGAGCUCAGCUUUUAUCAUUCCAUUUGUAGGAUUCAGGCUAAGCUGCUUUCUAGAGGCAGCCCAUUAGUUCUCCAUCUGCUUUUUGCCUAAUGAAAUGAUUUCCUUUAAAAUCAUUUGGAGGAGGGGCUAGAUAAGAUGGCUCAACAGUUAGGAGCACUGGCUACUCUUCUAGAGGAUCCAGGUUCAAUUCCCAGCACCCAUGUAGUGGUUGUUACUCCAAUUCAGGGAAUCCACUGCCCUCUUCUGGCCUCCAUGGGUACUGCAUGCUCAUGGUGCACAAACUUACAUGUAGGCCAACACCCAGGCACAUAAAAUAAAUCUUGAAAAUACUUUUGAUGUCUUUUAUCUAGUAGCAUCCUCAUUGCCGCUUUUUUAUUUUUUUAUGUAAUAACUUUACAGUGGUUAGAAAAGAGGAUUAAAUAUAUGUGGUGCCCAGUUACUUCUGUUUCUGGUCCCUGCACCUCCCAUGAUUUAAUGUCUGAUAUGUUGAAGCCUCUGCUCUUGCUCACAGAACGGUCCUGGAAUAUACUUGAUUAUUUCAUCACCCAUCUUUUAAACUAGAUGUCCCUAGUAUACCACACCUACUUAUCCCUACACAGGUAAUAUGUUUAUUCAAGUCCCCCAAAACAGUUUUUACAAAAUUUGUUUUGAAAAUUUUAAACUUUUGGAAACCCCAGGAGUGAGUGAACUCUUAUCUGUUCUUCCUGACUCAGGAGCCGAGCAUGCUUUGUUGAGCUUUCACUCAGUCUCAGGGGCCCUGCGACCUUCUGCCCCUCCAUCAGUCGAUGGGGAAACUGAACAGGGAUGCAGUUGUCUAGCAAUCGUGUUCCGAUCUCAGUGGCGACCACGGCAAGUUGUUUCCGUGAAGGCCAGUCAGAGCCCAUCCCUCCGAUUGCUGUUCUGUGGGCCAGUCUUGUGUUGUGUUCCCCUGACUCUGCUGUCUAUGAUGGGUCCAGGCCUGUUGUAGAUUCUCCUGCCAGUCUAUGUCCUUUCGAUCAACACAUUUAAUGCGAGUUCUUCUCUGUCCGCCUCCGCGGAGGGCGCGAGAUGUUUUUUAGCUUCAACUAUUUGCUUAGGUGAUGCCUCCACUCUUCUCCACCUCAUAAAAAAGAAAGGGGUUCUCUGUAAAGGACAUGAGCCUGGGGCAUGGCUUUGCAGGUAAAAGCACUCACUGGAGAAGUGUGAGAGCAGGAGCCAGUCUUCCUAAUCCGUGUGAAGAGCUGAUGCAGCGCCGUGCACGGGAAAUCCCAGCACUCCUCCGGGAAGACAGGGGGCAGAGGUCAGAGGUCAUCUGGAAGCUUGAGGCCAGUCACCCCGAAUACUGAGAGCAGCAGGCACAAGAGUCCUGGCAGCAACAGGGUGGAAGGUGAGAACCAACUCCUGAAAGUUGUCCUCUGGCCUUAACAGUGUACACAAUCACACACCUACAAUAAAUUCAAUCAAUUGCUCAGUGAAAGUUUUUGAAGAAAAUAAAAUCUAUAGAUGUUAAUACAUGUUA